AUUGAACGCUGGCGGCAGGCUUAACACAUGCAAGUCGAACGAUGAUUAUCUAGCUUGCUAGAUAUGAUUAAUGGCGGACGGGUGAGUAACAUUUAGGAAUCUGCCUAGUAGUGGGGGAUAGCUCGGGGAAACUCGAAUUAAUACCGCAUACGACCUACGGGUGAAAGGGGGCGCAAGCUCUUGCUAUUAGAUGAGCCUAAAUCAGAUUAGCUAGUUGGUGGGGUAAAGGCCCACCAAGGCGACGAUCUGUAACUGGUCUGAGAGGAUGAUCAGUCACACCGGAACUGAGACACGGUCCGGACUCCUACGGGAGGCAGCAGUGGGGAAUAUUGGACAAUGGGGGCAACCCUGAUCCAGCCAUGCCGCGUGUGUGAAGAAGGCCUUUUGGUUGUAAAGCACUUUAAGCAGGGAGGAGAGGCUAAUGGUUAAUACCCAUUAGAUUAGACGUUACCUGCAGAAUAAGCACCGGCUAACUCUGUGCCAGCAGCCGCGGUAAUACAGAGGGUGCGAGCGUUAAUCGGAAUUACUGGGCGUAAAGCGAGUGUAGGUGGCUCAUUAAGUCACAUGUGAAAUCCCCGGGCUUAACCUGGGAACUGCAUGUGAUACUGGUGGUGCUAGAAUAUGUGAGAGGGAAGUAGAAUUCCAGGUGUAGCGGUGAAAUGCGUAGAGAUCUGGAGGAAUACCGAUGGCGAAGGCAGCUUCCUGGCAUAAUAUUGACACUGAGAUUCGAAAGCGUGGGUAGCAAACAGGAUUAGAUACCCUGGUAGUCCACGCCGUAAACGAUGUCUACUAGCCGUUGGGGUCCUUGAGACUUUAGUGGCGCAGUUAACGCGAUAAGUAGACCGCCUGGGGAGUACGGCCGCAAGGUUAAAACUCAAAUGAAUUGACGGGGGCCCGCACAAGCGGUGGAGCAUGUGGUUUAAUUCGAUGCAACGCGAAGAACCUUACCUGGUCUUGACAUAGUGAGAAUCCUGCAGAGAUGCGGGAGUGCCUUCGGGAAUUCACAUACAGGUGCUGCAUGGCUGUCGUCAGCUCGUGUCGUGAGAUGUUGGGUUAAGUCCCGCAACGAGCGCAACCCUUUUCCUUAUUUGCCAGCGGGUUAAGCCGGGAACUUUAAGGAUACUGCCAGUGACAAACUGGAGGAAGGCGGGGACGACGUCAAGUCAUCAUGGCCCUUACGACCAGGGCUACACACGUGCUACAAUGGUAGGUACAGAGGGUUGCUACACAGCGAUGUGAUGCUAAUCUCAAAAAGCCUAUCGUAGUCCGGAUUGGAGUCUGCAACUCGACUCCAUGAAGUCGGAAUCGCUAGUAAUCGCAGAUCAGAAUGCUGCGGUGAAUACGUUCCCGGGCCU
rnacentral:rRNA from 1 species